AACAAAUGAAGGCUCCACAGCCGUUAAAAUAUGGUGAGGGUGUAAAAGAAAACCAUAUAGUCUAUGGAGUGCCGUCGCAUACGCCGUUCACGCAGUCGCCGGAGAGCUAGUCCUUCAGUGGUACUUUGCAGGGAUGCAAAUUGUUCGCACCCGAUCAACUAUCUUGCAGUGUUAAGCCAGAACUCGUUCCUUCCUCAGUAGUUUGAUGCGUGCAUAGCUGCUCAUCCGAUCACGUAUCUUGUCUGACAGUCCAUCCUUGCUCGGCAACUCCAUGCAGUCACAAUGUCAUCCUCUCGACAAGUUUUCUCGAUGAACCGCCACCACCAGGAACUGCACAAUGUCAGCACAUUAUCAUCCGGAUGUGUCAUCAGAGGAGUCUUCCCAGUUUUCGUUGUUGCCCUUCCUUACCGCUGGGUGAUUCUGUGAUGUCUCGUUGCAGUCGAAAUGGUCUGAAAUCGCUGCAGAGUCCGAGCAAGAUUCGCUGGCGCGGCGAGCUGUCGUCUGUCUGUGGUUUGCCAGCCCAUCUCGUGGAACGGGGGCAGAGAUAGCAUUGCUGACUCUUCUCGAGUUGUCUUUUUCUUUAUUUCUGCCUGUGUCGUGAGUUCAUUCGUAUCUGUAAUUGCAACAAGCACCAAGCCAUAGUCUGCGCCAGAUGAGAUGAAGAUCCAGCAAUGCCAUGUCAUAUUUUUUGCGCUCGUCCAGGAUUCAGUUAAGGGAAUGUAUGCCUGAGGUAGUAAAACCUCUUUUACAUUCACUUUUCCGUCAUGGCCGGAGUAGGGUCGACUUUCCUGAUUUUGUUGCAUAUGCUCCUGCUGGUGUACUAUUUCAGCUUUGUCUGUCACUCUUUCGCGGAACUGCAGUUUCUCAACGCCUCACACAAAACGAGCUGCGUUGUCAGCUCGAUAAUGGUAAUUAUACCCUUAAUAAUUGCUGCAACUGUCAGGACGGGACCAGCUUUGCUUUAUGAACUGUCUUUCAUUUGAGACAGAACAGGUCGAGAUGUUACAUUCAUCUGUGCGCCAACACCGGGGACGUUAGGAGAACCUAGGUGGAUCCGAUGGCGAGUCUGGUGGCCAGUGUCUCCAAAAGAGAAACCCCCUAUCGUGUUGAGACAACAGGCGUGUCAUGAUGGACUUCAAAAUGGCGAAAGGGUCUUCUACUCGGGCUGGCCUUUCCGCAUUCAACAAGGGAAAGCUGUUCGUUGAAUAGUUUCUUCGCCAGUUCUACCUCAUGUUGUUGAUGCGGGCGAUGUGUCACAUCUUCUGAGCAGUUUUUCGUGUGGCUCUGGAUGGGGCUUUAGUCCAGUUACUUCGCGGUUGAGUGGCAGUGUUGUACACACUGCCCUGUUGCCCCUGGAAACGUAGGUCCACGUGGUCCUGGUGUGACCCCCCUUUCAUUUGCAACUGGUGGACAGAGAGGCCUUCCCUCCUGAACCAAAACUGCCCACGAGUAACCCUAUCCAUCUUGCAAAAUGAACAACGUGGUGGUCGGUGUGUGCACCUCGUCAACGCAGAGGGUGCGCUACCAGUUCCUGCACCGGCAGCAUGGUCUGUCAAUGAGACCUCUUCUAAACGCCGGUCUCACCUAGCGCGCCGAAUAAAUUUGCGUGAACUUUUCUUCUCAAACGACGUGUGUAGCCUCGACUGAGGAAAACGGCUGCCGGCCUUGGAAGCCAUCUUCUCCCGUUCGGGCCCAACAGUCGCAAGGAUACCUACGAGGCGAUACCAUUCACGGCGUGACAGUAUCAGAGGAGCUGUUCCGCUCUAGGACGGCAGGAUCGACGCCGUCCCAAUCCAAGCGGUUGUGCUCGGUGCUCUCGCCGCAAGGAUAGAGAUUCCCGUUAGCCGUCCACCGUUUAUAACGUUACAGGAGAGUGGGCAUUCUCUACCGCCCUCCAAACCAAGCUACCCUGCUUAAUAUCGAGUUACUAGUUUCAGCUGUCUGCUCUGGAAUUAUCCUUUUGAAGUGGAAGCUUCGAGUGCAAGACCGGUGAAGAACCCGUCUAAGCGCGUUGCGACGCGACGUGAACGAUAGUGAGAGGGUCCUAGGUCUAUAGGCCGCUCGGCACUACCGCUUGGAGCGCAUUGGCGCACGCAGGACUGCAACGGUUUCUCCAUCCCGAGCCUCCUGGUCUACGUUGCAGAGCUGCCACAGGGG
rnacentral:lncRNA from 1 species